AAAAGUUAAGAGAGAAAGGGUCAGUAGGGGAUGUCUAGGCACUUAUAGAGCGAAGAAGGACGUGAAAAGCUGCGAAAAGCUUCGGGGAGCCGCACUAAGGCGUUGAUCCGGAGAUAUCCGAAUGGGGGAACCCGGCAGCCGUAAUGGGCUGUCACCCACGAUGUGGGAGCGCACCCGGCGAAUUGAAACAUCUUAGUAGCCGGAGGAAAAGAAAUCGAAUGAGAUUCCCUGAGUAGCGGCGAGCGAAAGGGGAGAAGCCCAAACCUAUGUGUAUACAUAUAGGGGUUGUAGGACCUUGAGGUGCUACCGUAAAGGAUAGACGAAUCAGCUGGGAAGCUGGACCGAAGAAGGUGAUAGUCCUGUAGUUGAAAUUCUGAGCGGGGCUAAAGGUAUCCUGAGUACCACGGAAUCCGGGAAAUUUUGUGGGAAUCUGGGGCGACCACGCUCCAAGGCUAAAUAUCAUAAGUGACCGAUAGAGGACAAGUACCGUGAGGGAAAGAUGAAAAGAACCCCUGAUAGGGGAGUGAAAAGAACCUGAAACUACUGACUUACAAGCAGUCGGAGCUCUCUUCGGAGGGUGACGGCGUGCCUAUUGAAGCAUGAGCCCGCGAGUUAUGCGUGGCGGCGAGGUUAAGCGGUUCAGCCGCGGAGUCGAAGCGAAAGCGAGUCUUAAUUAGGGCGAGUAGUCGUUAUGUAUAGACCCGAAGCCGAGUGAGCUUACCAUGAGCAGAGUGAAGCUCCAGUAACAUGGAGUGGAGGCUCGAACCGGUGUACGUUGAAAAGUGCUCGGAGGACUUGUGGUAAGGGGUGAAAGGCCAAACGAACUCGGCGAUAGCUGGUUCUUUCCGAAAUGCAUUGAGGUGCAGCCUCAUCUAUAAGCGCAUGGGGUAGAGCUACCGGAACGGCUAGGGGCGCCUGGCGUUACCAAACCGUACCGAACUCCGAAUACGUGCGUGGUAAGGAUGGGAGUGAGCCCAUGGGGGAUAAGCUUCAUGGACGAGAGGGGAACAACCCAGACCGUCGGUUAAGGUCCCUAAAUUAUGUUAAGUGGCAAAGGAGGUGGGGGGUCUUGGACAGCCGGGAUGUUGGCUUAGAAGCAGCCAUCAUUUAAAGAGUGCGUAAUAGCUCACCGGUCGAGAUGCCCUGCGCCAUCAAUGAACUGGGACUAAACAUAAUACCGAAACCGCGGAUUCGAAAGAAUGGUAGGAAAGCGUUGUAUGAGCGACGAAGGUGUCUUGGAAAGGAUGCUGGAGCGAAUACAAGUGAGAAUGUGGGCAUGAGUACACGAAAAAACGGGUGAAAAACCCGUUCGCCGUAAACCCGAGGUUUUCAGGACAACGCUAGUCGAUCCUGAGUUAGCCGGCCCCUAAGCCCAAGCCGAAAGGCGUAAGCGAUGGGAAUUCCGUUGAUAUUCGGAAGCCGGGUCUGCAUAUGUUGGGAUGACGCGUGGGAUGGCAUAGAGCGGGGCGAUGGUUGCCCCCGUCGAAGCUCUGAGGAGGCGUGAUGAUGAGUUGCGCGGAAUUCGAGGAGUGAGCGAUGCUCGUUUAGGCGGGAGGAAGUCUAUGGAGUUUUGCGCCGAGAAAGAGUCCCGAAACAUACAAUGCAGGUUCGACCGUACUUAAACCGACACAGGUGGGUGAGGAGAAUAUCCUAAGGCGUACGAGAUAACCCAGGCUAAGGAACUCUGCAAAAUAGCCCCGUAACUUCGGGAGAAGGGGUUCCGCCGUGAGGCGGACGCAGUUAAGAGGUUCAAGCGACUGUUUACCAAAAACACAGGACUAUGCGAACACGCAAGUGGAAGUAUAUGGUCUGAAGCCUGCCCAGUGCCGGAAGGUUAAGAGGAGGGGUUAUCGCAAGAGAAGCUCUGAAUUGAAGCCCCGGUAAACGGCGGCCGUAACUAUAACGGUCCUAAGGUAGCGAAAUUCCUUGUCGGGUAAGUUCCGACGCGCAUGAAUGGUAUAACGAUUUGAACGCUGUCUCGGCCUGGGGCUCGGUGAAAUUGCAUGGUUGGUCAAGAUGCCAACUACCUGUAGUAGGACAGAAAGACCCCGUGGACCUUUACUGCAACUUGGCAUUGAUGCUUGGGACGAUAUGUGCAGGAUAGGUGGGAGACUGUGAAGCUCGGCGCCAGCCGUUGUGGAGUCGUUGUUGAGAUACCACCCUUGUCGUUCUGGGUUUCUAACGCGUCUAUUCUAAAGUUUAGAGCGGACAGUGUCUGGCGGGCAGUUUGACUGGGGCGGUCGCCUCCUAAAGAGUAACGGAGGCGCCCAAAGGUUCCCUUAGCGCGGUCGGAAAUCGCGCUGUAAGCGUAAAGGUAAAAGGGAGCUUGACUGUGAGACUGACAAGUCGAGCAGGGACGAAAGUCGGGCUUAGUGAUCCGGUGGUUGCGAGUGGAAGUGCCAUCGCUCAACGGAUAAAAGGUACCCCGGGGAUAACAGAGUUAUCUUCUCCAAGAGUUCAUAUCGACGAGAAGGAUUGCUACCUCGAUGUCGGCUCAUCGCAUCCUGGGGCUGUAGAAGGUCCCAAGGGUUGGUCUGUUCGCCCAUUAAAGCGGUACGUGAGCUGGGUUCAAUACGUCGUGAGACAGUAUGGUCCCUAUCCACUAUAGGCGUUCGGAGACUUGAAGAGAUUUGUUCCUAGUACGAGAGGACCGGAAUGAACGGACCGCUAGUGUAUCGGCUGUCGCGCCAGCGGCACAAUGUCGAGUAGCUAUGUCCGGAAAGGAUAACCGCUGAAAGCAUCUAAGCGGGAAACCAUCUCUAAGAUGAGGUCUCCCAUUGGAGCCCAGGAAGACUACCUGGUUGAUAGGGUGUAGGUGUAAGUGCAGUAAUGCAUUCAGCCGAGCGCUACUAAUAGCUCCACAGUCUUAACUUUU
rnacentral:rRNA from 1 species